rnacentral:lncRNA from 1 species
CAAUAUUAUGGUGAACAUUAAGACUUCAUCGUUGUUUUACGGAGAACCGAAUGUCGCUCAUGACUUUGUGGCUGUGGCGAAAUGCCAUCUUUUGCUUACCCAAAUGCCUCUCCAACCAAAAGUCCAAAACCAACCACCCCUUUUUUUUGUCUUUCCUAUAAAACAACAUUCCUUGGAGGCACAUAGACCUUGUGCACACAUUAGAGACCUCUUUUUUUUUCUUUCCUAUAAGAUAAUAUGCUGAUUAAAAAAUAGUGUGGUGCUUACCUUGUUAAGUUUCCAAAUUAAAACGGUUGAUUGUUGAAGAAUGACGCAAUGGUAGGGUGCGCGGAUGAUGGUACCUCCCUUGGUGUGGAUCAUGGUGGCGCCCUCAGGGAUGCAACGGGGAUGUGUUUAACGUUGUCGGCAGGAGUGAUCAUAGUGCAGGCUUGUCACCAAGUGAGGCAAAAU